rnacentral:siRNA from 1 species
CAGGAAGGUGAACCGCCGGCG